rnacentral:lncRNA from 1 species
GGGAAAUACUUUUCUAGUCUAAAACAUAAUUGUAAUGUAGGGCAUUAUCCAUUAUUAAUUACAAAAACUAUUUACAGAAUGUUUCAGAAUUAUCAUGUUCUGUAGUCAUUUAAGUUAGUUAUUUAUACUAUAGUUGUAGGUCUACCCCUUGCCUGCCUCUCUGGAAUCAUCUUACACUGCUUAGGCUCCUUACUUUCCUGGCUCAGCAUUAUCCCCUUCCUUCAGUUUUUCUAAUACACCAUCCUUCUUCAUUCCAUGGGGACCUUCCCAUGCUAUUCCCUCAAAAUGGAAUGUUCUUCCAGUGCUUUUUCCACUCCAUUCGAAAGUAUUAAACUCCAAACAUGUAAUUCAGGCCUUAUGUUUUUUCAAAUAGCAUGGAAAUUUUAAUUCUCAGGCAGUAUCACACACUUAACUCAUGGUACUGUUCUCACAACUAUUCAUGUUACCCACUGUUCCUUUAAACAACUAAAGAAAAUAUUCAGCUGAAGAAUAUUCUGGAACUAGCAAAAUUUAGACUAAUUUUCUGUAUAAAGAAUCCCUGAAAUAGAAUUUUGAAAUUGCACCUGAUAGCCAGGCAUGGUGCUCACGCCUGUAAUCCCAGCUCUUUGGGAGGCUGUGGUGGGAGGAUAGUUUUAGGCCAACAGUUGAAGAUCGGCCUAGGCAACAUAGUGAAAACCUGUCUCUACAAAAUGAUAAAAAAAGAAUUAGCCAGGCAUGGUGGCACACGCCUGUAGUCCCAGCUACUCAGGAGGCUAAGAUGGGAGGAUCACUUGAGCACGGGAGUUUGAGGCUACAGUGAGCUAUGAUCACGCCAAUGCACUCCAGCCUGGAGGAAUGAGGG